rnacentral:rRNA from 1 species
GUGGGGAAUAUUGCACAAUGGGCGCAAGCCUGAUGCAGCAACGCCGCGUGCGGGAUGACGGCCUUCGGGUUGUAAACCGCUUUCAGUAGGGACGAAGCUAACGUGACGGUACCUACAGAAGAAGGACCGGCUAACUACGUGCCAGCAGCCGCGGUGAUACGUAGGGUCCAAGCGUUGUCCGGAAUUAUUGGGCGUAAAGGGCUUGUAGGCGGUCCGUCACGUCAGAAGUGAAAACUCAGGGCUUAACCCUGAGCCUGCUUUUGAUACGGGCGGACUAGAGGAAUGCAGGGGAGAACGGAAUUCCUGGUGGAGCGGUGGAAUGCGCAGAUAUCAGGAGGAACACCGGUGGCGAAGGCGGUUCUCUGGGCAUUACCUGACGCUGAGAAGCGAAAGCGUGGGGAGCAAACAGGCUUAGAUACCCUAGUAGUCC